AAUCAACGCUGGCGGCGUGCCUAACACAUGCAAGUCGAACGCGAAAGCCCGCAAGGGUGAGUAGAGUGGCGCACGGGUGAGUAACACGUGGACAACCUGCCUUCGAGUGGGGAAUAACCUUCCGAAAGGAGGGCUAAUACCGCAUAACACCUCGGGACACAAGUUCUGGGGUUGAAAAGAGCAAUUUGCUCGAAGAGGGGUCCGCGCCUGAUUAGCUAGUUGGUGAGGUAACGGCUCACCAAGGCUUCGAUCAGUAGCCGUCCUGAGAGGGAGCACGGCCACACUGGAACUGAGACACGGUCCAGACUCCUACGGGAGGCAGCAGUGGGGAAUUUUGGCAAUGGGCGAAAG
rnacentral:rRNA from 1 species